rnacentral:rRNA from 1 species
GACGAACGCUGGCGGCGUGCUUAACACAUGCAAGUCGAGCGGUAAGGCCCUUUCGGGGGUACGACGAGCGGCGAACGGGUGAGUAACGCGUGGGUGACCUGCCCUCAGCUCUGGGAUAAGCCUGGGAAACCGGGUCUAAUACCGGAUAUGACUCCAUGACGCAUGUUGUGGGGUGGAAAGCCUUGUGCGGCUGAGGAUGGGCCCGCGGCCUAUCAGCUUGUUGGUGGGGUGGAUGGCCUACCAAGGCGACGACGGGUAGCCGGCCUGAGAGGGCGGACCGGCCACACUGGGACUGAGACACGGCCCAGACUCCUACGGGAGGCAGCAGUGGGGAAUCUUGCGCAAUGGGCGAAAGCCUGACGCAGCGACGCCGCGUGAGGGAUGACGGCCUCGGU